UACAGAGGGUGCGAGCGUUAAUCGGAAUUACUGGGCGUAAAGGGCGCGUAGGCGGCCUUCUAAGUCGAACGUGAAAUCCCUGGGCUCAACCCAGGAACUGCGUCCGAUACUGGAAGGCUUGAAUCCGGGAGAGGGAUGCGGAAUUCCAGGUGUAGCGGUGAAAUGCGUAGAUAUCUGGAGGAACACCGGUGGCGAAGGCGGCAUCCUGGACCGGUAUUGACGCUGAGGCGCGAAAGCCAGGGGAGCAAACGGG
rnacentral:rRNA from 1 species